AGAACGAACGCUGGCGGCAGGCUAACACAUGCAAGUCGAGCGAUCCAGCAAUGGGGAGCGGCAGACGGGUGAGGAACACGUGGGAACAUACCCUUUGGUUCGGAAUAACUCAGGGAAACUUGAGCUAAUACCGGAUAAGUCGGCAACGAGAAAGAUUCAUCGCCGAAGGAUUGGCCCGCGUCCGAUUAGCUAGUUGGUGAGGUAAUGGCUCACCAAGGCGACGAUCGGUAGCUGGUCUGAGAGGAUGAUCAGCCACAUUGGGACUGAGACACGGCCCAAACUCCUACGGGAGGCAGCAGUGGGGAAUAUUGGACAAUGGGCGCAAGCCUGAUCCAGCCAUGCCGCGUGAGUGAUGACGGCCCUAGGGUUGUAAAGCACUUUCACCCACGACGAUUAUGACGGUACCGGUGGAAGAAGCCCCGGCUAACUUCGUGCCAGCAGCCGCGGUAAUACGAGGGGGGCAAGCGUUGUUCGGAAUUAUUGGGCGUAAAGGGCGCGUAGGCGGUGCGGUAAGUCACCUGUGAAAUCUCCGGGCUUAACUCGGAGUCUGCAGGCGAAACUGCCGUGCUGGAGUAUGGGAGAGGUGCGUGGAAUUCCCGGUGUAGCGGUGAAAUGCGUAGAUAUCGGGAGGAACACCUGUGGCGAAAGCGGCGCACUGGACCAUAACUGACGCUGAGGCGCGAAAGCUAGGGGAGCAAACAGGAUUAGAUACCCUGGUAGUUCACGCCGUAAACGGUGGAUGCUAGCCGUUGUCGGGUUUACUCGUCAGUGGCGCAGCUAACGCAUUAAGCAUCCCGCCUGGGGAGUACGGUCGCAAGAUUAAA
rnacentral:rRNA from 1 species